UACGUAGGGGGCAAGCGUUGUCCGGAAUCAUUGGGCGUAAAGAGCGUGUAGGCGGCUUGGCAAGUCUGGUGUGAAAUCUUGCGGCUCAACCGCAAGCGGUCACUGGAAACUGCCUCGCUAGAGUCCGGAAGAGGAGAGCGGAAUUCCUGGUGUAGCGGUGGAAUGCGCAGAUAUCAGGAAGAACACCCGUGGCGAAGGCGGCUCCUCUGGGACGGUACUGGACGCUGAUGGUGCGAAAG
rnacentral:rRNA from 1 species